rnacentral:lncRNA from 1 species
AGGACCAAAUGAAAUCAAGGUAAAAGGCCUCUAAUACAUGGCAUAUGAGAUGAACAAGGGAGGAUCAAAAGAUCUCUUCAAUUUCCAUAAGCAAUCCCUAAGUCAAACAUCGAUCAUAAAGAAGUCAACUGAAAAUUCAAGUCAACUUAAAAAAUAACAAAUAAAUAGAAAAUUAAUCAAGAAAAUUAUGAAAAAUUAAACUAAAUAAGGUGGGGUCAGGACAUCAUCAUCCCCCAAAAAGAUUUUAAAAAUAACGAAAAUUG